UUAAAUUUUUUCUUAUAAUUUGUUUAUAGAUAGUACAUAUGAAUGUAUGGUAUAUCUGUUAAAUUUAAUAUUUAGGAUAAUAGGAUGCAAAUAUUAAAGAUGAGCAGUAACUAUACACAUGAAAACUUAAAUACAGUGCCGAAAAGAGGUAUAUUUCAUUAAAACAUAUUAUGUCAAAUAUGAUAGCUGCUUCACAAUAUUUGUAAGAAAAAAUGAAAACUUUACUACAUUGGGGAAAAGAAAUUUAUUCCAUUAAAACAUAUUAUGUCAAACAUGCAAAUAUGAUAGCCACUUUACAAUAGUUGCAAGAAAAAUUGUUUAUUUCCUGAGAAUAAAUUGGCAUCCCAUCUGGCUUGUAGUGUUUUUCUUCUAAAGUAUUAUAUUUGUUGCAAAUAGGAGGGGACAAUAUUUGGUCGAACAUUGUAUCUGGAUAGAUAGCCCGUGUUAUGGUUUUGAAUGUUGUGAUCAUUCUUGGAAUUUGUAUUCUUGUCAUGCAAUUUGUUGCUAGGUUGAUUAUAGUAGCAACUGCAACAUGUCUUUUGUCUGGGAAAUAAUAUACAUCCAGCAAACUCUUUAACAACAUAGAUUUUGUGUGGUUAUUCAUUGACAAUGAUUCUAGUUCUUCAUAUGCUCCACCAAAAUCCUUAAAUUCUUCGUAUCUCCUGAUCAUAAUACUCUUGAACACCAGGUAAAACGUUGCAUCUUUGUUCUUCAAAUAUCUUGAGAUUUUCAUAAAACGUAAAAACAUAGUUUCAUGAGGCCUGUGAAUGUCAUGUCCCCAGAAGUACAAUUCAUCUAUUGGGUAGUUGUCCAAUAACAUCUGGAUAGUUGGUUGUCUUUUUGUAGCUGACCAUGCGAGAAAGAAAUUGAAGAAAUUUAAGAAAUUUUGAGAAGAUAUCUUUUGCAUGAUGAUGAUAAUUAGGUGAAGUGGCAGCUCGUGUAAGGAAGAUGCCAUAACGAUAAUAAAAGGGAGAUGAGGAUCAUUUAUACAGUUCUUUUAAUGGAUCCAGUGUCACCAUAAUCGUGAAGUUGUUUCAGUUGUACUCAGAUAGGAGUGAGUCAGCAAAAUGAUGAGGAGGAAGGAUCGUUAUUCUUAGUUUUAUAUUUUAACAGAGUGUAUACAGAUUGCAGAAUUAGGAGUCAAUCUUGUGGGGGAAUAUGUAAUGAUUAUCAGAUUUAAACUGAAUCAGAUCAGGGGAGAUGUAUUUGUGUAAAAUGCAGAGUGUAUACAGAUUGCAGAAUUAGGAGUCAAUCUUGUGGGGGAAUAUGUAAUGAUUAUCAGAUUUAAACUGAAUCAGGUUAUGUUCACAUAAAUCUAAAUAUGGUGAUCAAGAGAGAAAGACCUGUAAAGAUGUGGUAAGGUCUGGUUCGGGGAAUGAUUAAUCAGUUGUGGUCCAAUACUUCACUGCAACAACUUUCGAAAACCGUCCUGCUGAAACACUUGACAAUGACUGAAUCAGAAAGCUAUCACCGAUGAGAAAAGUGAUGACUAAAUUUAUAAUUAUUUUAGAGCUAUAAUAAUGAUGUGUAAUGUUGGGUGGAGUUCUUUUGUAAUUGUUUUAGAGUUAUAAUAGAUUUGUGUAAUAUAGGUCGGAGUUCUCGUAGAUUUAGGAGUGGUAGUUGUUUACUUGUUUGUGUUUGCUUGUAUGACAAACUAAAAUUUUAAGCUAAAUAACUUAAAUAUGUUUUAAAAAUAAA